UACAUGCAAGUCGAGCGGAAAGGCCCCUUCGGGGGUACUCGAGCGGCGAACGGGUGAGUAACAGGUGGGUAAUCUGCCUUCUGGAGGGGGAUAACGGCUGGAAACGGCCGCUAAUACCCCGUAAGGUUGCAGAGCCUAUGGGCUUUGCAAAGAAAGGGGCCCUUAAAGCCCCGCCGGAAGAUGAGCCCGCCCCCCAUUAGCUUGUUGGCGGGGUAACGGCCCACCAAGGCAACGAUGGGUAGCCGAGCUGAGAGGUUGAUCGGCCACACUGGAACUGAGACACGGUCCAGACACCUACGGGUGGCAGCAGUAGGGAAUAUUGCGCAAUGGGCGAAAGCCUGACGCAGCCAUGCCGCGUGGAUGAUGAAGGCCUUCGGGUCGUAAAGUCCUUUUCUGAGGGAAGAAAUGCCGGGGGAGGAAAUGCCUUCGGCUUGACGGUACCUCAGGAAUAAGCAACGGCUAACUCCGUGCCAGCAGCCGCGGUAAUACGGAGGUUGCAAGCGUUGUUCGGAAUGACUGGGCGUAAAGGGAGUGCAGGCGGCCAGGUCAGUCUGAAGUGAAAGCCCGGGGCUCAACCCCGGAAUUGCUUUGGAUACUGCCUGGCUUGAGUGUGCGAGAGGAAAGCGGAAUUCCAGGUGUAGCGGUGAAAUGCGUAGAUAUCUGGAGGAACACCGGUGGCGAAAGCGGCUUUCUGGCGCAUAACUGACGCUGAGGCUCGAAAGCGUGGGGAGCGAACGGGAUUAGAUACCCCGGUAGUCCACGCCGUAAACGUUGUGCACUAGGUGUGGGAGGUAUCGACCCCUUCCGUGCCGGAGCUAACGCAUUAAGUGCA
rnacentral:rRNA from 1 species